rnacentral:rRNA from 1 species
AUACGGAGGAUCCGAGCGUUAUCCGGAUUUAUUGGGUUUAAAGGGUGCGCAGGCGGGAGAUUAAGUCGGCGGUGAAAUUUUGCAGCUCAACUGUAAAAGUGCCUUCGAUACUGGUUUCCUUGAGUGUGGAUGAAGUAGGCGGAAUUUGUGGUGUAGCGGGGAAAUGCUUAGAUAUCACGAGGAACUCCGAUUGCGCAGGCAGCUUACUAAACCACUACUGACGCUCAGGCACGAAGGCGUGGGGAUCAAACAGGAUUAGAUACCCUGGUAGUCCACGCAGUAAACGAUGAUUACUGGCUGUUUGCGAUACAAUGUAAGCGGCUGAGCGAAAGCGUUAAGUAAUCCACCUGGGGAGUACGUUCGCAAGAAUGAAACUCAAAGGAAUUGACGGGG